UACGGAGGGGACUAGCGUUGUUCGGAAUUACUGGGCGUAAAGCGCACGUAGGCGGAUUUGUAAGUCAGGGGUGAAAUCCCGGGGCUCAACCUCGGAACUGCCUUUGAUACUGCAAAUCUCGAGUCCGGAAGAGGUGAGUGGAAUUCCUAGUGUAGAGGUGAAAUUCGUAGAUAUCUGGAGGAACAUCGGUGGCGAAGGCGGCAUCCUGGACCGGUAUUGACGCUGAGGCGCGAAAGCCAGGGGAGCAAACGGG
rnacentral:rRNA from 1 species